GAAAAUUUACUUCAAGGAGCAAGUCAGAUUGCCAGGAAAUUAUCCAUUCCCAAUGUUGCCCCAGCAGGAAGAGGGGAUCUCACCCUCUCAAGUUGAGUAAAUGGGGGUAAGCUGCCCCACCUCCAGUAGUUCUUGACAUUCCAGUAGUUCCAUGAAACCAGAUGGAAUGGCUGCAUGGUGGCCAGGACUGUAGGCAGCAGCAAUAGGAAAGGCCAAAGGAAGAGGCUGGAUCCCUACAGUCAUCGUGUUCAUGUGCAGGGACUGAGCUCAACUGAGGGUUUACGCCUGCUUCUCCUCCUCCUCCUGUUGGACAUCAGACUCCAGGUUCUUUGGCCUUAGGGCUCUGGAACUUGCACUGACGGCUGCCCAGGGAGCUUUGGGCCUCCAGCCACAGACUGAAGGAUGCACUGUUGGCUUCCCGGAUUUUGAGGCUUUCGGGCUUGGACUGAGCCACUACUGGCUUUUCUCUUUCCCUAGCUUGCAGGCAGCCUAUUAUGGGACUUCAGCUUGUAAUUAUGUGAGCCAAUUCUCCCUAAUAAACUCCCU
rnacentral:lncRNA from 10 species